rnacentral:rRNA from 1 species
UACGUAGGGUGCAAGCGUUGUCCGGAAUUAUUGGGCGUAAAGGGCUCGUAGGCGGUCUGUCACGUCGGGAGUGAAAACUCGGGGCUUAACCCCGAGCCCGCUUCCGAUACGGGCAGACUAGAGGUAUGCAGGGGAGAAUGGAAUUCCUGGUGUAGCGGUGAAAUGCGCAGAUAUCAGGAGGAACACCGGUGGCGAAGGCGGUUCUCUGGGCAUUACCUGACGCUGAGGAGCGAAAGUGUGGGGAGCGAACAGG